rnacentral:rRNA from 1 species
UACGUAGGGGGCAAGCGUUGUUCGGAUUCAUUGGGCGUAAAGGGUGCGUAGGCGGCGCGGUAAGUCGGGUGUGAAAUCUCGGAGCUUAACUCCGAAACUGCAUUCGAUACUGCCGUGCUUGAGGACUGGAGAGGAGACUGGAAUUUACGGUGUAGCGGUGAAAUGCGUAGAUAUCGUAAGGAAGACCAGUGGCGAAGGCGGGUCUCUGGACAGUUCCUGACGCUGAGGCACGAAGGCCAGGGGAGCAAACGGGG